rnacentral:rRNA from 1 species
CGAACGGGUGAGUAACGCGUGAAUAACCUGACUCAAAGAGGGGGAGUAACAACGGGAAACUGUUGCUAAUACCGCAUGAGACCACAACACCGCAUGAUGAAGGGGUCAAAGAUUUAUCGCUUUGAGAGGGGUUCGCGUCCCAUUAGGUAGUUGGAGGGGUAACGGCCCACCAAGCCAACGAUGGGUAGCCGAGCUGAGAGGCUGAUCGGCCACACUGGAACUGAGACACGGUCCAG